UGCAAAGGUGCUUCUUGGAGUUGCAAUGACU
rnacentral:piRNA from 1 species